GCUUCAAUAGGCUAGAUUUUCAUCCAGUUGCCUUUUCAUUUCCUUUUUUUUUUUUAAAUCUCUCCUUCUACUGACCUCUGCCAUUUUAAAAAUCAUUUUUAUGCGAUGCUGGGCAAGUCACUUAGCCUUAAUGCGUCUGGCUUUGUUACCUAGAUACGAAUAACUUUACCUGAAGAACUGUUGUGAUUAAUAUAUUUAAAAGUGCUUCACUUCAUUCCUUUUACAUAGUGGUGUGAUUGGUGAGUGCCUUAUGAAGACUGGUCUUCCUGGGAUUCCUGGACAAAACCUGCAGACAGCUUCUAAGCUAAUUUGAGCUUUUGAGAAGCGGAUACCCUCAGUGAUUAAACUGUGUGGGAUUUUGAAUCCUAGUUCUACCACUCGUUGGCUGUAUGAUGGAAGAUGCUUUGGCCAUACAUUGGAAAAAGGAGAACAAACGCAGUACUGUUAUGAAAUAAACUUUAAACACCAACUCACCGACUGGCAACAUCAGUUAUGCCAGUCUUCUUCAGAGUGGGAUGCACAGCCCACAGGGGAGCAUCGAAAGUGGAGAGAGAAAAUAUUAAAACAUCAAGAAUGAAAUCAAGCUUUUCAGACAGUUAAAACUUGGAUUGACACUGGCUUCUGCACUGAGCCAUGAGAGAAUGAAACAGCCUCUAAGAAGAACAGGAAUCCACAGCAAGUCGUUGAUCAUGAUGUCUUCCCUCUUGCAUUUGCUUUCAACAUUUUGUGACACACUGCAGCUUUCCUGCGUCUGAUUAAGCUGGUCUGGCUUAUACACCAAAUGGACAAUUUGUCGAAAAAGGUUUCUUCAACUAAACCAUAGUAUAAGACAUAAUUUAACUUUGUGACCUUAAACGCUUACCUACAACAUCCAUUGUGUCUCUAAUUCAGCAAACUCCAAUGUCUUCACUCAGUCUUUAUGCCCACACCUUAGUUGAAACUCUCCUUACUUGUAAUCUGGAUGGUUAGUAGAUACUGUCCUAAAUGAUCUUCCACCUUCAGUUUUACUCCUUUUGCAAUCUACUAGCUACCCUAAGCACACUCUUCAUUUAAUACACAUCAUGUGACACACAUGCCACUCUCUUGUUUGACAUCAUUUGUCUUUGUAGGCGCAGGUUACUGUAAUAAAAUACUACAGACUAGAUGGCUUAAGCAACAGAAACCGAUUUUCUUACAGUUCUUGUAUCUGGAAGUCUGCGAUUAGGGCAUCAGCAUGGUUGGGUUCUAGUGAGGACUCUCUUCCUGGCUUUCAGAUCCAACUUCUCGCUGUGUCCUCACAGGGCCUUUCCUUGGCACAUGCACUUGGAGAGAGAGAUUUCUCUCAUCCCCUUCUUAUAAAGCCACCAAUCCCAUCAGAUUAGGACUCCAUCCUUAUGACCUCAUUUAAUCUUAAUUACCUCCUAAAAGCCCUGUCUCUAAAUAGUGACACUGGAUGUGAGGACUCACCCCAUGGGACUGGGGGAGCAGGUAUAAUUCAGCCCACAGCAUCAUUCAUUGGUUCUCUAUCUUCCCUCUUGUUAGAUGCUGGGAUCCUGGUCAUGGUGUCUAAGGCUCUCCAUGAUCCCAUGCCAGCCUGUCCCUCCUGACUCAGCUCAAACUGUGCCUGAUCCAGUAUGUUGUGUUCAAGCCCUACUUAGCAGUUCCCCAGGGUAUACCAUGUUUUCUCUGGAUUCUCUGCCUUGUUUGUCAUCUUAUGCCCAUUUUGAAUAUUUUCUAUUCAUCCUUGUGAACAGGAAGUAGGCACAUUUUCCUCCAAGAAUUCUGCACUGGUAAUAAUUUCCUUUUACUCUAUUCCUUAUCCUUCUACCUUAAGUCUGUGUUAGAGGCCCUUCUUCUCUGCUCUCUGUGUAAGUUAAUAUCACACUACAUUAUAAUAAUUUGUUUACUUGCCUGCCCCCCAUUAGAUUAUAAACUCUUUGAGGGCAGUGCCCAUGUUUUAUUAUUCUUACUAUUAUUUCUAUUCUCAGUGGUUAAUAUUGGAUGGUUAGAUGUUAAACGAAUUCUUCUUACUGAAAAGUGUUUUAGUAUCACC
rnacentral:lncRNA from 1 species